rnacentral:rRNA from 1 species
AUGAACGCUAGCUACAGGCUUAACACAUGCAAGUCGAGGGGAAGCGACAUCGAAAGCUUGCUUUUGAUGGGCGUCGACCGGCGCACGGGUGAGUAACGCGUAUCCAACCUGCCCAUCACUUGGGAAUAACCUUGCGAAAGUAAGACUAAUACCCAAUGAUAUCCCACGAAGGCAUCGGAAUGGGAUUAAAGAUUUAUCGGUGAUGGAUGGGGAUGCGUCUGAUUAGCUUGUUGGCGGGGUAACGGCCCACCAAGGCAACGAUCAGUAGGGGUUCUGAGAGGAAGGUCCCCCACAUUGGAACUGAGACACGGUCCAAACUCCUACGGGAGGCAGCAGUGAGGAAUAUUGGUCAAUGGGCGAGAGCCUGAACCAGCCAAGUAGCGUGCAGGAAGACGGCCCUAUGGGUUGUAAACUGCUUUUAUAAGGGAAUAAAGUGGGUCACGUGUGACUUUUUGCAUGUACCUUAUGAAUAAGGACCGGCUAAUUCCGUG